GCGCGAGACUGGGUACGUUAUAAAGGAAAGACGUUUUAAUCGACUCACAGUUCCGCAGGUCUGGGGAGGCCUCAAGAAAUUACAAUCAUGGUGGAAGGGCAAGCAAACACAUCCGUCUUUACGUGGUAGCAGGAAGGAGAAGAAUGAGAUCCAAGUGAAGGGGAACAAACCUUGAAGGUGGAAGCUUAGACUGAGUUCACACUCACCUGGGACCUCUACAACUUGCAAAUGGCAGGGAUUCUGAUAUUAGCCCAUGAUUUUUCUGGAAGCCAACUGCCCUGCCAAGUAGCCCCAUCAUGACCACAUAGUGAGGAAUGGAGACUUCCAGUCAACAGCCAGCAAGGAAGAAAGGCCUGCCAAUAUGAGUAUAGGUGAUCUUGGAUGCAGAAUCUCCAUCCCCAGUUGAGCUAUGGGAUGACUGAAACCUUAAGCAACAGCUUAACUGAAACUCCAUGAGAGACUCUGAGUCAUGACCACCAAUUUAAGUCAUCCCUGGUUUCCCAAACCAUAUAAACUGCAUGCUAAUAAAUGCUUAGUGUUUUAAGCUGCUAAGUUUGGAGGACAUUUGUUAGGAAGCAAUAGGCAAUUAAAACACUGUCCUGACCUCUUUGAAA